AAUUUUGGACAAUGGGCGCAAGCCUGAUCUAGCCAUGCCGCGUGAGUGAAGAAGGCCAUCGGGAUNUAAAGCUCUUUCGGACGGAANGACAUCGCGCAAGCUAAUACCCUGAGCGGAUGACGGUACCGUCAUAAGAAGCACCGGCUAACUACGUGCCAGCAGCCGCGGUAAUAUGUAGGGCGCGAGCGUUAAUCGGAAUUACUGGGCGUAAAGCGUGCGCAGGCGGUUGAUUAAGACAGGCGUGAAAUCCCCGGGCUUACCCUGGGAACUGCGCUUGUGCCUGGUCAGCUUGAGUACGGCAGAGGGGGGUGGAAUUCCACGUGUAGCAGUGAAAUGCGUAGAGAUGUGGAGGAACACCGAUGGCGAAGGCAGCCCCCUGGGCCGAUACUGACGCUCAUGCACGAAAGCGUGGGUAGCAAACAGG
rnacentral:rRNA from 1 species